GACUCUGAGCGAUGGAUCACUCAGCUCGUGCGUUAAUGAAGAACGCAGCUAGCUGUGAGAACUAAUGUGAAUUGCAGGAUACAUUGAUCAUUGAUACCUUUAAUGCACUUUGCAGCUCCGGGUUACGCCCGGGGCUAUGCCUGUCUGAGGGUCA